UACAGAGGGGGCUAGCGUUAUUCGGAAUUAUUGGGCGUAAAGAGCUCGUAGGCGGUCUGUUGCGUCGGCUGUGAAAACCCGGGGCUCAACUCCGGGCCUGCAGCCGAUACGGGCAGACUAGAGUUCGGCAGGGGAGACUGGAAUUCCUGGUGUAGCGGUGAAAUGCGCAGAUAUCAGGAGGAACACCGGUGGCGAAGGCGGGUCUCUGGGCCGAUACUGACGCUGAGGAGCGAAAGCGUGGGGAGCGAACAGG
rnacentral:rRNA from 1 species